ACUCCUACGGGAGGCAGCAGUAGGGAAUCUUCCACAAUGGACGAAAGUCUGAUGGAGCAACGCCGCGUGAGUGAAGAAGGGUUUCGGCUCGUAAAACUCUGUUGUUAAAAGAAGAACAUAUCUGAGAGUAACUGUUCAGGUAUUGACGGUAUUUAACCAGAAAGCCACGGCUAACUACGUGCCAGCAGCCGCGGUAAUACGUAGGUGGCAAGCGUUGUCCGGAUUUAUUGGGGCGUAAAGCGAGCGCAGGCGGUUUUUAAGUCUGAUGUGAAAGCCUUCGGCUCAACCGAAGAAGUGCAUCGGAAACUGGGAAACUUGAGUGCAGAAGAGGACAGUGGAACUCCAUGUGUAGCGGUGAAAUGCGUAGAUAUAUGGAAGAACACCAGUGGCGAAGGCGGCUGUCUGGUCUGUAACUGACGCUGAGGCUCGAAAGUAUGGGUAGCAAACAGGAUUAGAUACCCUGGUAGGAAAG
rnacentral:rRNA from 1 species